rnacentral:rRNA from 1 species
UACGAGGGGGGCAAAUGUUGUUUGGAAUCACUGGGCGUAAAGGGAGCGUAGGCGGGUUCUUAAGUAAGGUGUUUAAUCCCGGGGCCCAACCCCGGACCGGCACUUUAAACUGGGAAUCUUGAAUAGUGGAGAGGUCGGUGGAAUUGGGGGUGUAGCGGUGGAAUGCGUAGAGAUCCCCAAGAACACCAGUUGCGAAGGCGGCCGACUGGACACAUAUUGACGCUGAGGCUCGAAAGCAUGGGGAGCAAACAGG